GAAGCUCCAACGACCAUCCAGUUCGAGGC
rnacentral:sRNA from 1 species